UGGGCAUACUUAGUACGGCGAGUGAAGCGGUAAAAGCUCAAAUUUGAAAUCUGGUACUUUCAGUGCCCGAGUUGUAAUUUGUAGAAUUUGUCUUUGAUUAGGUCCUUGUCUAUGUUCCUUGGAACAGGACGUCAUAGAGGGUGAGAAUCCCGUUUGGCGAGGAUACCUUUUCUCUGUAAGACUUUUUCGAAGAGUCGAGUUGUUUGGGAAUGCAGCUCAAAGUGGGUGGUAAAUUCCAUCUAAAGCUAAAUAUUGGCGAGAGACCGAUAGCGAACAAGUACAGUGAUGGAAAGAUGAAAAGAACUUUGAAAAGAGAGUGAAAAAGUACGUGAAAUUGUUGAAAGGGAAGGGCAUUUGAUCAGACAUGGUGUUUUUUGCAUGCACUCGCCUCUCGUGGGCUUGGGCCUCUCAAAAAUUUCACUGGGCCAACAUCAAUUCUGGCAGCAGGAUAAAUCAUUAAGAAUGUAGCUACUUCGGUAGUGUUAUAGCUUUUUGGAAUACUGUUAGCCGGGAUUGAGGACUGCGCUUCGGCAAGGAUGUUGGCAUAAUGGUUAAAUGCCGCCCGUCUUGAACCACGGACC
rnacentral:rRNA from 1 species